AGAGUUUGAUCCUGGCUCAGGAUGAACGCUGGCGGCGUGCCUAAUACAUGCAAGUCGAACGCUUUGUAAAGGAGCUUGCUUCUUUACAGGGAGUGGCGAACGGGUGAGUAAUACAUAAGCAAUCUGCCCAUCGGCCUGGGAUAACAGUUGGAAACGACUGCUAAUACCGGAUAGGUGAAUGAGAGGCAUCUCUCGAUCAUUAAAGUUGGGACACAACACGGAUGGAUGAGCUUAUGGCGUAUUAGCUAGUAGGUGAGGUAACGGCCCACCUAGGCGAUGAUACGUAGCCGACCUGAGAGGGUGACCGGCCACAUUGGGACUGAGACACGGCCCAAACUCCUACGGGAGGCAGCAGUAGGGAAUUUUCGGCAAUGGGCGAAAGCCUGACCGAGCAACGCCGCGUGAGUGAAGAAGGCCUUCGGGUUGUAAAGCUCUGUUGUGAAGGAAGAACGGCUCAUACAGGGAAUGGUAUGGGAGUGACGGUACUUUACCAGAAAGCCACGGCUAACUACGUGCCAGCAGCCGCGGUAAUACGUAGGUGGCGAGCGUUAUCCGGAAUUAUUGGGCGUAAAGGGUGCGCAGGCGGUUUGUUAAGUUUAAGGUGAAAGCGUGGGGCUUAACCCCAUAUAGCCUUAGAAACUGACAGACUAGAGUACAGGAGAGGGCAAUGGAAUUCCAUGUGUAGCGGUAAAAUGCGUAGAUAUAUGGAGGAACACCAGUGGCGAAGGCGGUUGCCUGGCCUGUAACUGACGCUCAUGCACGAAAGCGUGGGGAGCAAAUAGGAUUAGAUACCCUAGUAGUCCACGCCGUAAACGAUGAGAACUAAGUGUUGGGGAAACUCAGUGCUGCAGUUAACGCAAUA
rnacentral:rRNA from 1 species